GACGAACGCUGGCGGCGUGCUUAACACAUGCAAGUCGAACGGAAAGGCCCUGCUUUUGUGGGGUGCUCGAGUGGCGAACGGGUGAGUAACACGUGAGUAACCUGCCCUUGACUUUGGGAUAACUUCAGGAAACUGGGGCUAAUACCGGAUAGGAGCUCCUGCUGCAUGGUGGGGGUUGGACAGUUUCGGCGGUUGGGGAUGGACUCGCGGCUUAUCAGCUUGUUGGUGGGGUAGUGGCUUACCCAGGCUUUGACGGGUAGCCGGCCUGAGAGGGUGACCGGCCACAUUGGGACUGAGGUACGGCCCAGACUCCUACGGGAGGCAGCAGUGGGGAAUAUUGCACAAUGGGCGGAAGCCUGAUGCAGCAACGCCGCGUGCGGGAUGACGGCCUUCGGGUUGUAAACCGCUUUCGCCUGUGACGAAGCGUGAGUGACGGUAAUGGGUAAAGAAGCACCGGCUAACUACGUG
rnacentral:rRNA from 1 species